rnacentral:misc_RNA from 1 species
CGGCUGUCGCAGACUUGAAAAGGUCGUGCACGCGGGAGCGUGUCCUCUCACAUAACACAAUCCAUCUCACCCCUUUGUGCACCACCGCGUGGGCCCCCUUUCGGGGGGCUCGCGUUUUCACACAAAACCCCCCUUUUAAAAGUGUAGAAUGACCUCUUUUUAUGAAAUCAAUACAACUUUCAACAACGGAUCUCUUGGCUCUCGCAUCGAUGAAGAACGCAGCGAAAUGCGAUACGUAAUGUGAAUUGCAGAAUUCAGUGAAUCAUCGAAUCUUUGAACGCACCUUGCGCCCCUUGGUAUUCCGAUGGGCACACCCGUUUGAGUGUCGUGAAAACCUCAACCUCCCUGGUUUCUUCUGGAGACCAAAGGAGGCUUGGACUUUGGAGGCCUUUGCUGGCGUCUCUGCCAGCUCCUCUCAAAUGAAUUAGUGGGGUCCUCUUUGCUGAUCCUUGACAUGUGAUAAGAUGCUUCCGUGUCUCGGUUUCUGGCUCUGUUGCUUUUGGGACCCG